UGGGGAAUUUUCCGCAAUGGGCGAAAGCCUGACGGAGCAACGCCGCGUGAGGGAUGAAGGCCUCAGGGCUGUAAACCUCUUUUAUCAAGGAAGAAGAUCUGACGGUACUUGAUGAAUAAGCCACGGCUAAUUCCGUGCCAGCAGCCGCGGUAAUACGGGAGUGGCAAGCGUUAUCCGGAAUUAUUGGGCGUAAAGCGUCCGCAGGCGGCCUCGUAUGUCUGUCGUUAAAGCGUGGAGCUUAACUUCAUUUCGGCGAUGGAAACUGUGAGGCUUGAGUGUGGUAGGGGCAGAGGGAAUUCCCGGUGUAGCGGUGAAAUGCGUAGAUAUCGGGAAGAACACCAGUGGCGAAGGCGCUCUGCUGGGCCAUAACUGACGCUCAUGGACGAAAGCCAGGGGAGCGAAAGGGAUUAGAUACCCCUGUAGUC
rnacentral:rRNA from 1 species